rnacentral:lncRNA from 1 species
CUGUCAUCAUACGUGUCACGCGUGUCACACGUGGCAACACGUGGCGUCAUACGUGGCGUCAUGUGGGUCGUAUGGGGCAACAUGUGUCGUCCUACGUGUCAUCUGUGUCAUCAUACGUGUCAUCAUACGUGUCAUCUGUGUUGGACGUGUCAUCAUGUGUCAUCAUACGUGUCAUCAUAUGUGUCAUCUGUGUCAGACGUGUCAUCAUGUGUCAUCAUACAUGACAUCAUGUGUGUUCUAUGUGUCAUACGGGGCAACAUGUGUCAUCAUACGUGUAAUGUGUGUUAUCAUACGUGUCACGUGUGUCACACAUGGCAACACGUGUCAUCAUACAUGACAUCAUGUGCGUUGUGCGUGUCAUACGUGGCAACAUGUGUCAUCAUACGUGUCACGUGUGUCAUCCACGCCGUCACACGUGUCAUCCCGUGUUGCGCGUGCCCUCCGUGCCCUCACGUCACCACGCCGCAUGUCAUACGUGUUAUCCCAUGUGUUGUAUGUGCCCCACGUGUGCCCCCAUGCCGUCCUUGUCACACGGGCUGCGCGUGUCAUCCGUGCCACGCGUGUCAUCAUCCGUGUUACCCCGCGUUGCGUGUGCCAUGCACGUCACGCGUGUCACACGUGUCCCAUGCGUGCUGACACGCCACCGCACGCGCAUCACACGCGUGUGUGUGCGCGCCACGCGUGUCCCGCGUUGUGUCGGACGUGGCACCACGCGUGUCGCCAUGCCCGGCGUCGCGUGACACGCGUGUCCCGCGCGCCGCGCCGCGGCUGACACACACACACAUGCGCGUGUGCUGCCUGGCAGGGGCGGUGUCGUGCUCCCCGGAUCAGUUCGACUGCGGCGACGCCGUGGGCCGCGAGCGCUGCGUGCCGCUCACCUGGCGCUGCGACGGGCACCGCGACUGCGGCGGCGGAAGCGACGAGGACGGAUGCGGUGAGAGA